AGUUUGAUCCUGGCUCAGGACGAACGCUGGCGGCGUGCCUAAUGCAUGCAAGUCGCACGCACUCGCUUCGGCGGGUGAGUGGCGCACGGCUGAGUAACACGUGGGAACCCGCCCCCCGGUGGGGGAUAACGCGACGAAAGUCGCGCUAAUCCCGCAUACGUCCGCAGGGGGAAAGCGCUUCGGCGCGCCGGGGGAGGGGCCUGCGGCCCAUCAGGUCGUUGGUGGGGUAACGGCCUACCAAGCCGAUGACGGGUAGCUGGUCUGGGAGGAUGACCAGCCAGACUGGGACUGAGACACGGCCCAGACUCCUACGGGAGGCAGCAGCAAGGAAUUUUCGGCAAUGGGCGCAAGCCUGACAGAGCAACGCCGCGUGCGGGAUGACGGCCUUCGGGUUGUAAACCGCUUUUCGGGGGGACGAUGAUGACGGUACCCCCGGAACAAGCCCCGGCUAACUCUGUGCCAGCAGCCGCGGUAAGACAGAGGGGGCGAGCGUUGUCCGGAGUCACUGGGCGUAAAGCGCGCGCAGGCGGUCGCCAAAGUGUCGUGUGAAAGCCCCCGGCUCAACCGGGGGAGGCCAUGGCAAACUCGGCGACUGGAGCGGCGGAGAGGCCCCUCGAAUUGCCGGUGUAGCGGUGAAAUGCGUAGAGAUCGGCAGGAAGACCAAGGGGGAAGCCAGGGGGCUGGCCGCUGGCUGACGCUGAGGCGCGACAGCGUAGGGAGCGAACCGGAUUAGAUACCCGGGUAGUCCACGCCGUAAACAAUGACCACUCGGCGUGCGGCGACUAUUGACGUCGCGGUGCGCCUUAGCUCACGCGCUAAGUGGUCCGCCUGGGAACUACGAGCGCAAGCUUAAAACUCAAAGGAAAUUGA
rnacentral:rRNA from 1 species